UCAUCUUCAUGACAUGUUUA
rnacentral:snRNA from 1 species